AGGACGAACGCUGGCGGCGUGCUUAACACAUGCAAGUCGAGCGGAAAGGCCCUUCGGGGUACUCGAGCGGCGAACGGGUGAGUAACACGUGAGCAACCUGCCCCUGACUCUGGGAUAACCCCGGGAAACCGGAGCUAAUACCGGAUAUGACACCUUCGGGCAUCCGAUGGGUGUGGAAAGAUUUAUCGGUUGGGGAUGGGCUCGCGGCCUAUCAGCUUGUUGGUGGGGUAAUGGCCUACCAAGGCGACGACGGGUA
rnacentral:rRNA from 1 species